rnacentral:rRNA from 1 species
AGGAUGAACGCUGGCGGCGUGCUUAACACAUGCAAGUCGAACGAUGAAGGCUGGAGCUUGCUCUGGCUGGAUUAGUGGCGAACGGGUGAGUAACACGUGAGUAACCUGCCCCAGACUCUGGGAUAAGCGCUGGAAACGGCGUCUAAUACCGGAUACGAGCUUCCACCGCAAUUGGUGAGGAGCUAGGAAAGAAUUUCGGUCUGGGAUGGACUCGCGGCCUAUCAGCUUGUUGUGAGGUAAUGGCUCACAAGGCGACGACGGGUAGCCGGCCUGGAGAGGGUGACCGGCCACGACGUGGGACUGAGACACGGCCCAGACUCCGUACGGGAGCGAGCGAGGUGGGGAAUAGUUGACGACAAGUCGGGCGACGAAGCCGUGAUGCAGACGAACGCCG